AAAAAGUUACGGUGGGACAAGUAGAAACUAAAGACUCUCCAGUGAGCAUGUUUUGAAUCUAACUGUAUGAGGUUUUGACAAUCUCGCAAAAAAUGUCACAUACGGGAAUGUAGUGCGACCAAUAAGCAUCCAGCAGGUUUAUUUUGGAAGGCUGACUCAAGCAGACUGCGCAUGGCUACAGUCAAUAUGAAAACAUUACGGAGAGAAUUAGCGAACAAAUUGUUGGCACGCCAGAUUAACACGCCACCAAGGCAACAGCCUGGGGAUUUAGAAACACAUUUCUCACACAGGAAGCACAUGCAAUGACUUUACGACUGCGAGCCAGACGGUAAACAAACCGGACAGGAACCAAUGAGAGCUCGAGAUCAGCGCUGUGACAUUUGGAAAGGGCUGAAAACUGAGCACCAUGGUCCCGCCCACCAUUGACUUUGUUCUGUGGCUGCUGGAGGAGGAGGUCACAGACAUGGAAGCAGGCAAACUUUGGAUGGCAGAUGUUCUGUGUCCUCAGCAUCUGAAUCUGUCAAAGCACCACUACACCACCGAAUGCACUGGAUCCUUGUUUUUGUAGAGGUUCACAUGGUUUUAAUGCAC